GUCAUCCUUAGGUAAUUUGUCUAAGGUUGAAUCAUUAGAUCUCUCAUCAAACAAGCUUGACGGACGAAUUCCGGCUCAGUUAAAUAAUCUUGGAUUCUUAGCGGUAUUAAACCUUUCUUGGAAUAAUUUCAUUGGAUCCAUUCCUAGAGGCAGACAAUUUGAUACUUUCACAAAUGAUAGCUACAUUGGGAACUUGGGUUUAUGUGGAUUCCCAUUAUCAAAAAGCUGUGGAAACGAUCAGGGUUUGGAACCACCUCCAACAAUAUUUGAUGAUGAUGAAGAUACAACAAAAGAAUUGAACUGGAGAUUUUCUAUAUUGAUGGGGUAUGGAUCUGGGCUAGUAUUCGGAUUGAGUAUGGGAUACAUCGUGUUCACAACUGGAAAACCGUCGUGGUUCAUUAAGAUGACCAAAAGAGUUCAGCAAAAAUAUGUUAGAAGGACAUAAUUAAUGCUCUCAGGUGAGUUUUAGUACUUCUAAAAGUAUAACAGUAUUUAAUUACCAUUAACAUUUUUCUUUUUAUCAAGAUGUAAGGUUUAGCUUUGACAAGGUUUAAAAAAUUUCCCAGGUUGGAUGUGUUCCAGUUAAGGACAAUACUCCCAAGGGAAGCCGAAUCAUCCAAUAAGACAUUGGCAAAAAUAGGAUUUUGACAAGGAGAUUUUUCAAGCCUUGUGUGGUAUGGGUUCUACCAUUUUAUAUAUUGUCGUGAACUUUCUUUUGUAUAUAUUCUCACAGCUUUUGUUCGACCCUUGAGAUGAUUUCCUUUUCUUUUUUCAGAUUAUUAGAUUGUUAGUCAAUAAUUUCAGUUGUAUUAUUCUUAUCCUAUUUAUUUUAUAGAUGAUUUUCAUGUGACCUUUUUGAGAUUAUGGUAUGUAUUUUCAACAUGAUAUAUAUCUUCAACUAUCUUAAGUAUGAGUCCAUGCAUUCUCUCUCUCUGGUUAUUGCUUUGUGUGUACAUCUUCAACUUUUCUUAAGCGCAAUAUAUCUUCAAUGUUAAUACUUCAACUCUCUUGAUGCUCAAUGUAGAAGGAAAAAAAAAAAGUUUUGAUAGUUAAGGAGCACUGUUGUCCUUCAAAUUGGAUAGAUUUCUCAAAUUGGUUUUGCAUAUCUCUUCCUUCAAGAAAGCAAUCUUUUGCAGUCAAAUUUAUGCACAUAUUUCACUGAAUUAAUUAAAGCCUUGGAAUCGAUUGAGAAGCUGUUCCAAAUAUCCUAGGUUUUUUCUAGAGAAAUAUAAGUUUCAGCACAACUUCCUAAGCAUAUUUUUCUCUUUUUCAAGUGAGUAUUUUUAUUGCUCUAACACGACCAACCUCAUGCAUAGUAUUAAGAUUUUCAUCCCAGAGAUUACAGAUUUUUUUCCCUUUUUUUCUUAGCUCAAAUUUUGAAUUAUUUUUCUUUUUUUUUCUUAUGUCAUCUUUUGAUCGUAAAGAUGGAUUUAAUUAUUCAAGAUUGAUGACAAUUAUUUUUCUUUUUUUUCCUUUUUUUUUUCAUACCUCAAAUUUUGGAAUUAUUUUUCUUUUCUUUUUUUUACCUUAACUCAUCUUUUGAUCCUAAAAAUGGAUUUAAUUAUUCAAGAUUGAUGACAUCUGCAAGCUUGCUCAAAAGUUCUAUCUUGAUGAGCUUACUCAUCAAGAAAAAUUGCAUAUGCAGCAUGAAUUAUGGUAUUUUGAACUUGAUAUUAAGAGAGAUCCAUAUUUGCAAAGUGUUUCAACUCUCUCAAAGCUAUGUCAGUUAAUGUUAAAAGCAGAAAAAUCAGUUGUAUAUCUUCUCUUGUAUCGUUUAAUUGUAUAUGAAAUAUGAAUUGGAGCAUUUUGAACUUGAUAUUAGGCAAGAUCCAUGUUGGCAAAGUGUUUCAACUCCCUUAGAGCUAUGCCAGUUAAUGUCAAAGACAGAAAAAUCAAUUGUAUAUCCAUUCUUAUAUUAUUUAGUUUGACUUAUUUUAACUCUUCUAGUUUCUAUAACAACUACAGAACAUGCAUUUUUAGUUAGAAAAAUUAUAAAGACGAAGUUGCAUAAUAAGAUAGAAAAUGAUUUUGUUGCUAAUUAUUCACUUAUUUUUUAUAUUUAGAAAGAGAUUGUCAACACCAUUUGUCGUGACGUGCAGGUUCGAGAAUCCGACCACUAGACAUGGAGCACUAGGAGUCGCCACCAAUCUUUUUUAUCUAGGUGUGAUUGGCCCCUUAUUGACUCUACUUUAAUCGACAAGGUCCUAAAUUGACUUUAGGUCCGUCAAAAGAAUGAUAAAUUAGUUUACGGGCUUUAGAGUGGGUUCAAGAGUAUGGUUACUCAUAGGGAAGGAUUAGCACCCCUGUGACACCCGUUCCAUAAACGGUACCAUUUAAUUAUAUAUUAUCCUAUGAUAACCUAAACUGUUGAUUUUAUUAGCAAAUUAAAACAGUUUAUUCGAUUUUAUCGGUGUGACGUGCACAUGAUGCAAUUAUGAAAUACAUGGCAUAAAAUCUGAAUAAUGACAAGCGAAAACUUUUUAUUGAGGAAGUUUCUCAAAUUUGUUCAUCAUACUAAUGGGAUCCGAGGAUAUUCUCUCACUUAAGGAAGUACUUGGGAAACUUGUCUUCGCCAAUUUAACAAGUAAAUCCCAUCAUCAGGGUAGUCGUUUGCACGUAAAAAUAAUAUUUUUCGUGAAUGCAAUCAUUAACACGAGUGAAAGACUUAUAUGAAGGACAUUCUCUGAGCCCUCCUAUUGUACUGGUGAGACUCGAAAGUAUCAUUUUACCUAAAGAAUUUUUUGAAAGAACUCGCAUUCGCAAGCUCUCUUGUAAUGUCCCAUUAUUGGGGUUUUGACUCGUACACACAAUAUGUCUACAUGACAUGACAUUUAAACGAUGCAAUAAUGGUGCGUGACGUGCUACAAAUUCCAAUGUCCAUUAUUAAUCACUAUCACUACAAUUUUAUCAUUUUUAAAAUUUACUUUUUAUUGCUUUUUUUUAACUUUAAUAUAUUUUAUGCUUUAGUUGCUCUCUUUCCCAUAUAUCUUUUAGAAAGCAAAAUUAUUCACUUACUUAUUUUAUUACUUUUCUUCCUAUAUGUGUUUUACAUAGCUAAAGAUUUUAUUAUUUUUUUGUAUCUACCCUUUAAAUUUUCCUUGUUUAUCAUUGCAAAACUCUAUAUUGUCUUAUGUAUUUUAUCUAUUAUUUUUGUGCUUAUUAUGAUUAUCAAUAUUAUCAUUUUUUAUAUUUAUUUUUAUAAUUUUUUUUACACUUAUUUAAGAUUAUAAAUAUUGAAACUCGAAAUUAAAACCCUCCGAUUAUACUGGUGGAGUUUUAAUCAAAAUCCUUCACCAAGGAAAAUUAAUUCGGGAUUGAGACUUCUCGCAUCCCAAACGAAUGCCCAUCAUCAUGUCAAUUCAAAAUAACCAAAAGAAAUUUUUAUCAUAUUUCUUCUUUAUAUAUAUAUAUAUAUAUAUAGCUAAAUAUUUUAUUAUUACCUUUUUCAUGUCUGUUUAUGUAUAUUUUAUAUAACUAAAUAUUUCAUCUUUUCUUUUGCUUUUUACAUCUAUCUAAGUACAUUUAAGUCAUUAUUUUCAUCCUAAUCAUUCUAACGAAAUAGAAUAGACUUAAAAUAAAAUAAGAUAAGCGUUCCAAGAAAUUCACCUUUAAUGGACUAGGCAAGAGUCCAUUAUUUUUUGUCAUUGUUGGGCUUUCACAAAUUUAGGCCUUAUCCACUUUUCUUUUUCCCUUUCUGUUGGUCCCAUUUUAUUUUCUUCUUUUCUCUUUUCUUUCAGUGGGCUUUUUCUAUGGGCUAUCCCAUUGCUUUCCUCGACUUCUUUUUUUUGGAUUUUCUUUCUAUUUGGGCUUUAUACUUUAGAUGGCCCACUUUCCCUUUUUUUUCUUUCUUUUCUCUUUUUUGGUGCCCUAGUCGCCUCCAUUUUUUCUUUUCUCUUUUUUCCUUUGUUUUUUCUUUUUUCUUUUCUUUGUUUUCAUUCUCGCUUCUUUCUCUCUCUUUCCCACUCCUUUUUUCUUUUACUCUCACUUUCCCUAAAUGACAUCGUUUUGGUGCCCUUUCUAACCCAACCCUAACUAUUUAAACUUUUUUUUCGAUCUCCACCGUCAUUUCUUUCACCCCUUUUAUCUCUAUAACCACCAUUCUUUCUUUCUCUUUUUGAAAGAAAUCCGGCCACCACAAAUACCGAUCGGUAUUAGUGACCACUGUCGGCCACCACUGUCAUCGCAAGCCUCCGUUUGCUGGCACAAAAAAAUCCUCAAAAUUUCACUAAAGGUUCCUUUCAAUCUCCUCUACCCUUUAAUCGGAUUACUUUUUCCCAAAAACCUCUCAUUUCUCCUAGAUCUAAGAAAAAUGAGACUUAAAAAACUACUAUUUUUUGGGUUAUGGUUAUGAGGUUGCUAGAAGCUAAGGUGUAAAACCCGACCCUAUAAAUACAUGUCAUGACAUACAUGCACUGAGUAGUAUGUUAUUAUGUUAGGAAAAGCACCUAAGAAUAGACGAAACUCGGUAUUGUACCUAAUGGUACACUUGAGUUGAUUUAACCUCGAACUAGUUCAAAUAGGAAUUUUAGGAUGAAAUUUAAUAUUUUAUAGUCCAAGAAUGACUAAAAAUGAUUGUUCGGAGUUCGAGGGUUCAUUUGGGGUAAAAUUAGAAAUUUUGAUAUUCAAGGGCAAAAUCGUCAUUUUGCCACCUAAGAUAAUAAUUUGAUCAUGGAGUGAAAUUUUUGACCAAGAUUAACUAUUUGGAGUAUAAUUUAAUGAUAGGAAGUGAAAAAGUUUAAUUUUGGUAAUUUUUGGAGUGUAAGGGCAAAAUCGUAAUUUUGCCACCCACGGACAAAAUUUGAGAUUUUGAGAGAAUUUAGAUCAAAUUUGACAAAUUUGAGAAUGGUAUGAGUAUAAGGGAUGAAAAAUAUGUCUAUGGGCAAUUUUUCAAUUUUUGGGGCAAAAAUGUAAUUUUUGACUUUUACGGGGGCAAAAGUGUAAAUUUCAAAAAUUUCUCCACCGAGACUUUGGAUGAGUCUGAGAAUUUUAUCUAAAGCUAUGAAUAUAUGAGACAAGUGUAUGGUAAAAAUUUGGAAACAAAUGGAUGAAAUUUUAAAAAUGGGCCAAUGGGAAAGUGACACGUGGCAUUUUUUUAAUGAAAUAAUAUUAUUUUAAUGAAAAGUCAGCCAUUUAAACCCAAAUUUUGAGUGCUGGCCGGCCAUAAGGAAGAAAAAGAGAGGAAAUAGAGAGGAAAGGAAGAAAAAAAGAAAAACCAAAGAGAAACAAGAAAAUUCAAAGGGAAAUUCGCGGUUUUCGACCGUUUACGCGUCUAACGGUAAGAUUUUUCGAUUUUAGCUUGAUUUCUACCUUUCCUAUGCCUUUAUUUCCAUUUAGCAUGCUUGAGGAGAGAGAUCAAAAAGUGAUAUCAAGGGCUGGACGAAAUUCUAGGGGAGAGAAAUUGAAAUUUUUAGGUUUUGAUUUUUAGUUAAAUUGAUAGUUUUAGUUAGUUAAAUGUGUUUAGAAAUUAAAUUGGGCAAGAAAUCAUUAAAUUUUCACAAUACCCACUCUUGGCUGGAUGCUCAAUGCUGUACAAUGAUGAUGAAUUGAUUUUAUUCUAAGGAAAAUGAAGAGAAAAUGAUGAAAAACGAUUAAACGUGAUAGAAAAACAAAGUAGAAAAUUAACCGAGUUAAUGUCCCAUUUUUGGCCGAAUUUUCCAAGGAAGGGAGUGAGCUGAUUUUGUUGUUUUUAGAAGGUUAUUGGCUGAUAUUUAAUGGUUAGAAAUGUUGGAGAGAGAAUGGGAUGAUUUAGAGCUAAAAUGGAGCGCGUUAGCAAUUUAUCGGGCAAAGUGCCAAAAAUAGGUUAAUACCGCGUUUAAGCCGUUUUAGGCUAUUGCAUUUCAUACCAUGCAUUAGUAUAGGAUUUAAGUUAAUUAUAUAGUGAUUUAGCAUCAAUGUGAUGAAUUGUGUAAAUUUUUGUAAUGUGUCUAGGAGGAGAGCCUUCCGGAAAAGGCAAAGAAGUCGUACCCGACGAGUAGUGAUCGGGGCGCUUAGAAAGCUUUUAGUUUGUACAAACGGUGAGUAAACUUAUUAUUAUUGUAAAUUAUCUAGAGUUUAUUUUUAAAUGCCCUUUAUGUAUUUUAUGAAAUGAAAACGAGAUUAAAACGGGAUUUUUGAUGUUUUAGGAAUAAAUGUGACAAAUAAAAAUAUAUUGUAUUGAUUAUGAAAUUGAGUAAUUGGAGGCUACAAAUUGACUUGAAAAAUAUAUAUUUUCCUAGGAAUGGCUUAUGAGAAAUGAGUAUAUGUGGCUAUAUUUUGUGAAUGCAUUGGGAAAUUUAUGUAAGUUGUUUUACUAUGCAGGCUGGAUAAAUAAAUAAAAGCCACGUUAUACUGUCGAAAUUUUAUUAAAAUUGGUGGGUUAGUCACUGCAGUGACGGGUUUCCGUGGACUGCCUAUUAGAGGGGCACGGUAAACCCAGUUAUAUAGUUACUCCGGUUGUAGAGGCGAGGAGGGUAACUCCUGGGGUAGUAUUAGAGCUCACUUCACGUCGAACCCCCACGUGAAUGUGUAACUCGGCCAACGCCAAGGAACGGCUGGUUUUAAAAAUAAAAAUGUGUUUCACGUGUGAAUAUUUUAACACCCUUGGCGGACUCGGUUAGAUGCCUCGGCCAAGGUAUCCCCGAGGAUUAGUUUUGGCUUGAGCCUUGUUUUAAUAAAAGACAUAAGCCUUAACAACUGUUUUGGUAAAUUACAAAUAUUUUAUGGUUUAAGAAAUAAAUUGAAAACAUUAUGAAAUGGGUUGAAAUUUGUUGUUUAAACUUGCCUCCAUUUUACUCGCCUUUAGAUAUUUAUGAUAAUGUCUGUUUACUCAUUGGGAUUGCAAAAUCUCACCCAACUCCUUUCCACCCAUUUCAGGUUCAGUAUAGACUGUAGAUAGCUGAUCUCAUCGAGGACUACCAUUGGAUCUGCAUUUUCCAAACCGUAGGUUCACAGUCCUCUUUACUUUUGUUUAUUCGGGGGCCCUCUUGUUAUUGUAAAUUAAAUUAAAUAUUUUGGCUUACUGUAUUUCAGUAUGUAUAAAUUUAUUUAGCUUUUACGCUAUAAAAAUUAUUCACGUAUAACUCUAUAAAUAUUGUUUUAUAAGAAAAUAGAAUAUUUUCCUUAAUAUUUCUUUUAUUUUCUUAUUAUAUUCAAAUAAUCGUAAUUUCGUUUUAAAUGAAGAUUUUAGACUUUUAAACUCAUUUUGAAUAUGAAUUAUGUGUUUUGUACUUGUAUAUUACGUUUUAGCCAGUUUCGAAAUUUUUGAGAAAAACAUGACCAAAAUACCCCUGUGUGGCGAAAAUUUUAUUUUGAUUGUUUUUGAUCUAAAAUAGUGUAUAUUCUCUAAAAACUCGAUAUUUAAUAACGAUUGCUCACAGGAAAGGAAAGAAACUGAUAUGUAAGCCUUGCGGGGUUUUGGUUGGCAUUCCGAAUAAUGAGUGUCAAUCGGGACGUCGCGGCGAUUGUCAUGUGCUUGAGGCAGGUUCCGGGUCGUGACAUAAGGUCUUUACUUUUUAUGUUUUCCUUUUUUUUUUGGCAAGGAUAGCAUCUCUAUCACUUCUUCCUCUUUUUUCAAGAUUUUUUCUUAAAAAACACUAUCCUCUUUUCCUUUUUUUUUUUUGUAAUUUGAGGGUUCUUAUAAAACCUAAUUGUCCAUAUUUUUGGACAAUAGGGAGAGGGGGUAAUCAUGUGUUCUAGGUUAAAGGUGAUUUGGAGAGAGAGUCGAGGGUGGCUUUAUGUAGCAAGGAGGUGAUAGCCUUCUAACAGGUUGCCAUCCUUAAACUUUUCUUGGAAAACUUCAAUCACUUAAAGUUUUCAACCUUUCAGACAAUAGUUUAACAGGUCCAAAAACUAUUUUUCACUUGCUCUGCUUUCAUUUGCAUCAUAUAUCUAGCAAAGCAUAACAUGGUAUUAGAGCGUUAAUGAUCUUAGAGGCCUGUUAGCAAGCUUAAAAAACCUUCAUAGCACAUAAACAACCUUCCAUUCAACAAAGUAUGGCAUCAAGUGGCAGUACAACAAGUUUUUUUGCACCAAUCUUCAAUGGUGAGGGUUAUGCAUCAUGGAUUGUCAAAAUGAAGGCUUUUCUAAAAGCAUUUGAUCUUUGAGAAGUUGUUGAACAUGGAGGAGAAACCCCUCAGUUGAAAGCCAAUCCAUUAUAAACCAAAUAAGAUAGCAUAGUGAAGAAGUAGCCAAAAAGUACAAGGCACUAUCUCAUAUUCAUGCUGCUGUAACAGAGUCUAUAUUUGCAAGAAUUAUGGCUUGUGAAACAGCCAAGGAAGCAUGGGAUAUACUUAAAGAGGAGUUUCAAAGGUCAGACAGAACCAAAAAGAUGCAAAUUCUGAAUUUGAUGAGGAAAUUUGAAGUGAUGAAGAUGAAAGAGAAUGAGUCUGUGAAAGAUUUUGUGGAUAAGCUCAUGAAGAUAGUCAACCAAGUUAGGAUUUUUGGGAGUUGAGCUUUCAGAUGCAAGAAUUGUGGAAAAGGUGCUGGUGAGUAUUCAUGAAAUAUUUGAGUCAAAGAUUGCAACUCUUGAGGAAUCUAGAGACUUCACCUUAAUGACAGUGUAAGAGUUGAUAAAUGCUAUUCAAACUGCUGAAACAAGGAGACAAAUCAAGCUUGAUGAGCAUACUGAGAUAGCUUUGCAAGCAAAGUUUGAGGACAAGAAUGUCCUUCAUGACGGCAACAACAAGUUUCAAGAUGAUACAAGGAACAAAGAGAAGGCAACAACUUCAAAUCAGAGGCAACAGGGUAAGAAAACUAGAAAUGUAGUGUGCUCCUAUUGCAAAAAGUCUAACCAUGCUAAAAAAUAUUAUUGGUUUAAGCUAAAUGUUAAGUGCAGGAAGUGUAAUAAGCUUGGUCAUGUGGAAAAGGUAUGCAAAUACAAGGCUACUCAACAAAACCAGCAAGCUAAAGUAUCAGAGGAAGCUGAGACAAUAAAAAAGUUAUUUAUGGCAUCAGAAGGCAAAACGGGAAAGACACAUUAGACUUGGUUAAUUGAUAGUGCUUGUUCAAGCCACAUAUCACCUAAUGCAUCCCUGUUCACCAUAAUUGAUCAUAAUCAAUGUGCAAGGAUAGAAAUUGGGAACAGAGAGUUUCUGAAUGCCAUUGGUAGAGGUAUAGUUGUUGUAUCAACAUCAAAAGGAACCAAGUAUGUCUUACAUGUCUUUCUAGUGCCUCAAGCAUGUCAGAACUUACUUAGUGUUGGUCAAAUGGUAGACAAUGACUAUACCUUGCUGUUUAAAAACAAAGUGUGCACUAUCAUUGAGCCUUUAGGCAAUGUUUUAAUGUCUCUCAAGAUGAGAAAUAGAUGUUUCCCUCUAGAUUGGCAUCACAUGAGUCUAAAAGUUGUUGAAAAGGAUGGUUAUGAUGUGUUUGAGUUAUGGCAUAAGAGAUUUGGGCAUUGAAACUAUUCUACAAUGAAGUUACUGAAAUCUAACAAUUUAGUGACAAAAUUACCCUUCAUACAUGAACACACUGAUAUUUGUGAAGUCUGCCAACUAAGAAAGCAAACAAGGUUGCCAUUUCCUUUGAAAAGCACUAAGAGGGCCUGUGAAAAGCUUGAAUUGAUCUAUUCUGAUGUUUGUGGUCCAAUGAGUGUUGAAUAACUCAGUGGUAGUAAGUACUUUGUGUUGUUCAUUGAUGACUACACCAAGAUACUUGGAUUCAUUUCAUUAAGCUUAAAUCUGAUGUGUCUUCAGUAUUUAAGAAGUUCAAAGCCUUUGUUGAGCUUGAAUCAAUGUGCAAGGUGAAAUUUUUAAGAGCUAACAAUGGAAGGGAGUUCAGUUCAGAUGAGUUUGAAGGGUUUUUAUUUACUACUAGUAUUAAACAUCAAUUCACUGUUCCAUUUUCACCUCAACAAAAUGGGGUUUGUGACCAAAAGAAUAGAACAAUAUUGAAUAUGGUUAGGUGCUUGCUGUUUGCAAAAUCAAUGCCUAAGCAUUUUUGGGUAGAAGCAACAAAUACUGCUUUUUAUCUACAAAAUAUUCUUCCAACAAGGGCUUUGGAGAAGUUGACACCCUAUGAAGCAUGGAAUAAUAUCAAACCUACUGUUGACCAUCUUAAAGUCUUUGGAUGCAUUUGUUAUGUGCAUGUUUUAGAGGCCAAAAGAACCAAGCUGGAACCAAGAGCCAAGUUAAGAGUUUUUCUUGGCUACAAUUUGCAAUCCAAAGGUUAUAGGGUGUUCAAUUUGAGCUCCAAAAAGUUUCCAGUAGCAAGGGAUUUUAAAUUUGAUGAGCAAACUUAUUGGAAUUGGAAGUCAAAAGUGAUUGAGGCUUCAAAAGACAGGCUGAUUGGUCUAGGGACAUUACCAGAAUUGGUUCAUUAACCUUUGAAGAUCCUAAUGAUGAAGAAUUUACAGUCAGGGGCACCGGGACUCUAGAAAGCAUCUAUGACAGAUGCAAUAUGGCCAUUACAGAUACUACAAGUUACUCAGAAACCAAAGAAUUAGUUCACUGACAGGCUGCCAUGAAGGAGGAGCUAAGUGUGAUUGACAAAAACAAAACUUGGUCCUUGCUUGAUAGAACAGAUUCUAUGAAUGUCAUUGGCACCAAAUGGAUUUUUAGAACCAAGUUCCAUGCUGAUGGCUCAAUCAACAAGCAUAAAGCUAGGUUGGUUGUAAAAGGUUAUGCUCAAUGACCAGGAAUUGAUUUUACUAAUACAUUUGCACCAAUGGCCAGAUUUGAGACAAUUAAACUUUUGCUUGCAAUAGCUGGUGGUCUUGGUUGGGAGGUUCAUCAUCUUGAUAUCAAAUCAGCAUUCUUGAAUGGAGUCCUAUAAGACAAUAUUUAUGUUGAAAUACUUGAAGGGCUGAAAGUUAAUGAUAGGGUCAAUAAGGCCUGCAGUUGCAUAAGGCCUUGUAUGGUUUUAAACAAGCCCUUAGGGCCUGGUACAACUGAAUGGAUAGCUAUCUAGAGUCAAAAGGGUUCUACAAGAGUGUAAAUGAACCUACACUUUAUGUCUUAAAGGUCUAGGAUCAAGUAAAGUUGAUGAUUUCUUUAUAUGUAGAUGAUCUGUUUGUUACAAGCAUUGGAAGAAAACUAAUAACUCAAUUCAAGGCAACCACAAAGAUUGAGUUUGACAUGACCGAUUUGGGAUAAAUGAGGUACUACUUGGAUUUCAAAUUGAUCAGUCUGACCAAGGUAUCUUCCUUUAUCAGAAAAACUAUAUUGCUACAGUUUUGAAAAAGUUUAACAUGGAGAAAUGCAAAUCAGUUGCAACUCCAAUGGUUGUAAAUGAUAAAUUCAAUGAUGCUAACUCUCCUAAACUCAUUGAUCCUUCUAUCUACAGAAGCUUAAUUGGUAGUCUACUUUAUCCACGUGGAUCAAGGCCUGACAUCAUGUUUUCAGUGAGUUAUCUCUCAAGAUUUAUGCAAAGUCCUUCUGUUUAGCAUCUUUCAACUGCCAAGAGGAUUUUGAGGUAUUUGCAAGGCACUCUUGACCUUGGCUUACACUUCAAAUACUUGGAUGAAGUAAAAUUAUAUGGUUACAGUGAUAGUGAUUAUGCUGGAGAUGUCAAAGACUUCAAAAGCACCUCUGGUUAUGUGUUUUUCUUAGGAAGUGCUGCAUUUAGCUGGAAUACUAGAAAGCGAGAAGUGGCAGCUCAGUAUACUGCUGAAGCAGAAUAUAUUGCUGCUGCAGCUGCAGUAAACCAAGGAGUUUGGCUCAGAAAAUUGCUUCUAGAUUUAAAGUUUGAUCAACAAGAAGCAACUGAAUUGUUCUUGGAUAGCAAAUCAGCAAUGGCUAUUGGCAAGAACCCUGUAAAUCAUGGCAGAACCAAGCACAUUAAUGUGAAGUUCCAUGCAAUUCGAGAAGCAGAAAAAUUGAAGGAAGUCAAGUUCAGCUAUUGUAAUUCAAAUAAGCAAGUAGCCGAUAUCUUCACCAAGGCAUUACCAAAGGAGAGGUUUGAAGACCUUAGAUUGAUGCUAGUGGUUUGCAAAGCAAGUCCUAAGGAGGACUGUUGAAAUAAGACUUGCAUUGAAAACCACAUCAGUGCAUGCUAUUAACCUUAGGACCAUAUGUGACCAUUUUGUAUUAAGAUAGCUAGUCUUUUAUCAAAUCAUGAUAGCUAUGCAUCUAGUGAAUGACUUAAGUGAUGAUUAGCAUGUAUUCUUGUGCCUAGCUUCUGAUGAAAGCUUACUUGUUAAGUUUUGCUAUGUAUAUAAACUAUGUCAAUGCAUAUCAGAAAUAUGAAGCUUCUGUUAUUCCAAAAACUAUCUUUCACUUGCUUUGCUUUCAUACUCAUCAUAUAUCUAGCAAAGCACAACACAUGCAUGGCAGUACAACCUUGCUCCAGUAUGCGAGUCUAUCCAAUUCAGCAAUUCUCAUAAUAUCAUUACACAAGAUUAAAACUGAAAUGCAUUUACUAUAACUAAACUAACUGCAGCUUUUACAAGUAAUAUCAAAUGCAAUUAACCACUGAAUUACACUAAUAAAAACAACCAAACCUAACAUCUGCAUUACCAUAAUAAGAACAACAGUCAACCACUAAUUUCAUCAGACCAUAACUUUCUUACAAGAUGCUAUAGGCAUAAGAGCCCCUCUUGAAACGACCUUAAUUAGUCAGCAGCCCGAUGAGGUUUCUCUGCGGUGCUGCCAUGGUCAUCUACUUCUCCAUCAGUUUUCUUUCUUUCCUUUUUAUUCUUUGGUUUGUGAAUAAACAUCAUCCUCUCUGUCAUGCUUACACCCCUGGUCGACGGCACUUGUUUGAUUUGGGGUGAAUGCCCUGAACUAGUUUCCUUUCUUGGAGGUUUUGCACAUAUUCUAAUCUCAAAGUAGGAAAAACAAAAAGAAAACAGAGAAUUAAUGUUAAUUAAGAAAUUAACUUGUCUUAACAGAUUACUGAAGAAAAUAAAUUUUGCAAAUUAUAAGAAAUAUUGGCUUACAUGGCCGUUGCUUUCUUCUGGUAAUUAGCCUAAAUUUGGAUGUUUGGAUCAACGCUUUUGGCAAGGAAGACUCAGCAACAGAACCAUCAAUUAGCAAAUGGAGAAAAAUCCCUGGUUCUUUGUUUCUAUAUUUUGAUCUUCAAGGUGUUGGAGCCUCAAUUAAAGGUAAAAAUUUGCACGUCAUUCAAAAUUUUCAAGCUGUAACACAUAUAAUGGUCUUGCUUUUUCCUGCUGAUUAACUCCAUGCCAUCAGUGGACUGCGAGCGGUGUCUUUCGUGACCACUUUGGAAAUUGAAAAUGCAGUUUUUUGAUCAAACUUGAAAGCUGUUCUACAUAUAGAGUAAAAUUAUGAACUAUUUAUUGGAAUUUGUCGAUAGCAUGGGAUGAGGGAUUUCGUAAGGUGAUCUUGACUAUAUAUAACAAAUCUGCUGCACAGUUGAUUCAAAUAGAAAAAGAUGAAUUAAAUACUAAUCCAAUCAUUUGAUAAAUUUUCUUGUAAAUGUGACUUUUUAAUAUCCUGUUGGUACGAAACUUCUCCAGGAUCUUCUUAAAGUUAGUGCUUCAAUUUUAUUAAACAAUAUGAAAAUUUCAUUCCACGUGUUAUUUUAACUUAAAUAUAUUUAUUUUUAUUUCUUUUUUAAAAAAAUAAUGUUUUUGAUUAUUGUUUAAUUUCUCUUCUUGACUCUUUUCAGUUUUGUUAGUCCUUUCUUUCUGCUCUAACACGACCGACCUCAUGCAUAGUAUUAGUUUGGUAGUCGGGUUUUUCAUCCCAGACAUGACUGAUUUCUUUGGCUGCAUGCAUUGAAAUUGAUUGGAAAAAGAUAUAUCAGCAUGUUCAUUCAAAUGAAAAAAAAUUAUUAUUCACUUCAACUAAAAAAGAAAGAUACAUUCAAAUUCCAUAUUUUCAUUUCAGAAGGAUGAAAUGGUAGUAGUUUCUUUUAGUAAAUAUUGGGUUUAUCACUUAAUCUCUGAUAGGAUUACUGUUCUUUAAUUUGUAAUUAAAUUUUGUGCUGAAUGAUAAACUUUUUAUUUGUACAUUUGAUGAAUUUCUUCCGAGGAUAUUUAAAUGACAUAUAAUAUUAUGAAUCAGUGAUAAUUAAGUUAAGUAUGAUAUAGUAUAAUUAUGAAUUUAAUUUUGGAUAUAAUAAUGUAUAAAAUUUUUGUUUUAUAUAGUCAUUUAUAUUGUUAUAUAUGAUCUAUUUCAAAUCUACCUUUAUUGUUUAACAAGAACAAAGAUGAGAGAAAAUGGGCAUAAUCAUUGAAAUUACAUAAAGGAAAUCAAGUAAUGCACCACUGAAGACAUAAAAAAAGAUUUGCUGAAGAAAAAAACAAAAGCAUAUACGUUCUCUCUUUUGUUUACCCCGAAGUACUAGCAUCACCAAAAAAAUUAAAAUCUUGUGUACUCCAUGUUGAAUGCGGGCAUAUUACUAUCAAGCAUUUAAGAAGGAAUAAAGAAUGUGUGGAAGGUAAUAAUAUCAAUUAUUGAUUCCAUCCUCCUAUAUACACUGUCUAGACUCUAGAGAAUACGUUCGACUGCAUCCUGUAAUUAGGAAUUAAGGAAGAAAAAUGUUGGUGAAUUUUACCCAUUAAUUCCAAACAAGAAAAGGAAAAGGAACCUUAUACCUUACAACUAUAUACUGUGUCAAGUAAAUCAAGUUAAUGUUUAGUCAUUUUGUAAUUACUUGUUAGUUUUGGUUGGGGGUGCUGAAGGUCUAUAAUAAGAGUAGAAAAAACAAAAAUGCUUGAUUUGAGGUGACGUUUAUUGAAAGAAUUUUCUCUCAAGAGACCAAUAAAUUAGGGUCCCAUGACUUGAGGAAAAGGUGCGUUCAAGUAUUGCCAUUGAAAAUCAUAAUAAAUCUUUCUUUAUUUUUAUGAUUGAAAAUAAAUUAAUUACAAUCGAGUUUUUGAUCAAAAGUCAAGUCGUCGACCGAAAUGAAAGUUCAAACGAGGCUAUUCAACCGGGCUGAAGACCUUCUAGUCUCUGCCCAUCUUCAAACGUAAACGCAUUUUAAAUGAUGGCAGGUGAAGAUCUUUAUUUACGCAUUUUAAAAUUUAAAAUUCCCAAGUCCACAUACUGCAGCUAACAAUGGGAAUAAUCAACAAUUUUCUCUCUAAUCGUUGUACAAGUUACAAUUUUUUAUUAUUGCUUAUUUUCUUAUAUACUCAUUUUCUAGCUGGUCUCUGCUUUCAUUAGCUUCCACCAAACUGUCGAAAAAAUAUUCCUAAGAAAAUUAUUCCAACACAUGGAUUAAUUUGAAACAAAGGAAUAUAAAAGAAUAAAAAUGAAAGUAAUUGACUAUACAAAGAAAGGUAAACUAAGAAGAAAUUAAAUUUUGAAUAAUUUAGAAAUUGUAUCACUAUAUAUUUGUUUACAUCAUAUGCGUUUUAAUUAUACAAUUAACUGAAAAUCUUAUUAAUGAUAGAAUUUCAAGAAAGUUGUAAAAGAUGAUUUUUUUUUAUAAAAAAAUUAAUCUCGUAGGUUUUAAAUCCACAUAUAUAUCCAAUAAAGAAAGACUUGAAACGAAUAUAAGCGUUCUUGACUUAGUUUCCAGCCCCUCUGACCGUCUCUGUCAUGCCUUAACGUUUGGAAUUAGACUUCUGUUAGAAUUGGACAGCUUUAGAGCUUGUUUUUCUUGGCACGAUACAGAGGCGUCAACAAUGGAACAGAACAAGCAUUUAUGACAAGUUUAUUAUACUUUGUUUUUUAGUUAAGAGAAACGUGUGAACACUGGAACAGUUUUUGAAAUUGCAGGAGCAUUUUACAGAUUUCUUGUUCAAUAUGUAUUUGGUGUCCAUAACGUGUGGAGACCGACGCUUCAUUAACAAUCAAACAUUUGCUUUUCCUACCUGAAACGAUCAUUUGUCCAUUUUGCUUUUCUUUGAUUUGCAGGGCCUUUUCACGGUGCAAAAAUCUAUAGAACUAGUCAACCGCAUAGCUUCGCAAAGAAUGCUUCAAGCCUUCAACCAAGUUCGAAACGUGCGUCUGCUAAUAUUUAAAGAAUGAGAGCAUCAACCAACACAAUGAUGCAACAAACUCCGUUGUUUCUUUUUAAAUUUGUCUCAACCACAAAUAUAACCGUAUGGAAAAUACUGGCUUCCUCCUCCCUCUUGUGGUGUUACUCAACUUUGUGGCUGCUUUCUCGGCAGAAUCACCCAAUAUCACCACUGACCAAUUGGCUCUUGUUGCAUUAAAAGCCCAUGUCACUCAUGACCCUCAAAACAUAUUGGCAACCAACUGGUCUACUACUACCUCCGUUUGCAAUUGGAUUGGUGUCACUUGCAGAUCCGAUCAUCAAAGAGUCGUCACUCUUAAUCUUUCUGACAUGGGUCUUGUAGGCACCAUCCCACCUCACUUGGGAAAUCUCUCUUUUCUUACUCAGCUUAACAUCCGAAACAACAAUUUUCAAGGCUCGUUACCCAUGCAGUUGGCUAAUUUGUCUUCCUUGCAAUAUAUAAACUUCGGUAACAACAACUUCGUUGGGGAAAUCCCAUCAUGGUUUGAUUCCUUCACUCAACUUCAGAGAUUGUCUCUGUACAGUAACAACUUCUCUGGUAUUAUCCCAUCUUCUUUGGGUUCUUUGUCAAAGCUUAAGGAGUUGUUCCUAUAUGACAAUGAUUUGAAAGGGCAGAUUCCUGUAACCAUCGGAAAUCUUUCUAAGUUGAAAUUGUUGGACUUGCGACAGAAUCAGCUUUCAGGUUGCAUAUAUUUUUUCGAUCUUCAAUAUAUCUUUAUUGUGAAUAUUGGUUUCAACACUAAUAAUCUCAUUGGAGGUCAACUUCCAUUGGCUUUAUUUGAUCACCUUCCUAAAUUACAAUUUCUAAUGUUGGAAUGGAACAAUGUUUCAGGUAAAAUUCCAACCAGUUUAUUCAAGUGCCAAGAGUUAGAAGAUUUAAUUUUAUCUAACAAUGCCUUGGAGGGAAGUGUGCCUCAAGAAAUCGGAAAUUUGACUAAAGUAAACAACUUGUUCUUCAGUUCAAACAACUUAACAGGUAUGCUUACCAUGGACAUUCUUUUAGACAAAUUAAAAUAAUUAAGUGGUAAUUUAUUUUUAUUUGUGAGUUUAUAUUUAUGAUUUCAGUUUAAUUACACAAGUAAAUAAAAAUCUUACGAAUGAUAUAUAAAAAUUGACAAUACUACGAAACGGGCCCAAACACUAGUAAGAUUUAAAAUUCACAAAAUUAUUCGAUAAAGAAAGUCUUGAAACGAAUAUAAGUGUUCUAGACUUAGCAGGUUUCUAAUGGUGUGGGAUACUUUUGACUAUGGAGAAAUGAAUUCCAAUUUCUUAGCUCCUGCCCUUCGUACUGUCUUAACAUUAGAAAAAAUAUGACUUCCACUAGCUUAGAGCUUGUUUUUCUUGGCAAGUUACACAAGUGUAAAAACUGGAACGAAGCAAGCAUUCAUGACAAGUUUAUUAGACUUUUGUUUUUUGGCUAAUAGAGAAGUAUGUCCAUACCCAUAUAUGAAGUAAAGCUCUGUUUUUAAGAAUAAGAUCAGUAAUACCCACACCACUGCAAUUCCUUGGUUUACAAAUUCUCUCCCAAUUAAUAAGAUGUAAUUUCCUUUUCUCGUUUGACUCACCCUAUAAAAUCACCUCUGAAUUUUGUCUAACUCAUUUUAAACCAAGAUUGGCAUUUGGAACAAAGACAUUUAGUGAACAUGGAGACCAGAUGGAACAACUCUGAUUAAUGUAGUACGACCACCAAUAGAGAGUAGCUUCGAUUUCCAGCAAGCUAACCUGGCUUCAAAACACUCCAACAACAGACACCAAAAAUUAACCGAAUUAGCACUAGAACCCAAUAAGAGGCCCAAGUGCAUAGUUGGCCCAAGAAUUUAGAGUGCUCUAAUCCACGCCAAUUCCAUAAAGAACGCUUUUCUGAAAAUUGAUUUUCGGACCUGCCACAGCUCCAAAACAUCUUAACACCCUUUUGAUUUUAGUAAGAUCCUUGAAAUCAGGUUUACAGAGAACAAGUGUGUCAUCAACAUAUUGUAGAUGCGUAACUAUGAAACCAUUUCUCCCAAUAACAGCACCUCUGAACAGUCUGAGGUCAACCGCCUUAUACAUUAAAAUCCCAAAAUCCUCAACCACUAAAUUAAAGAGAAAAGGAUAAACUGAGCAACCCUGUCUCAAUUCUCUAUACAUCUUAAAUUGGCGAGUAGGAAUGCCAUUAACAAGAAUCGAGACAACAAUACAAGAAACGCAAAAACUGAUAUCCAAUUCCUCCAUCUAUCACCAAAUUACCUUUUCUUUAUAACAAGAUCCAUAAACCCCUAAUUAACACUGUUGAAAGCCGUUUCAAAAUCAACUUUAAGUAUUAAACCACGAUUACCAUAUUUUCGCAUAUUAUCCACAACUUCAUUUGUGAUCAAGGAGCAAUCAAGAAUCUGUCUACCCUUUAUGAAUGCAAAUUGGUUAUUACCAACCACCUCCUUAACCACCCUCCUCAUAUAAUUAGCCAAAACCUUUGCCAUAAUCUUGUACAAACUACUAACCAAACUAACCGGAUAAAAGUCCUUCAGUCCUUCAAGAUCACAUACCUUAGAAAUGAGAGUAACGAAGGAAGCAUUGAUCUUCUGAUCCAUAAACCCUGUAACAGAAAAGUUACCUACAAGCUACAUCACACCGUCUUUAAUCCAUCUCCUUUGCUUCUUGAAGAAGUUCAAAUUAUACUCGUCUGGUCCUGUAACUUUAUUACUAUCACAACAACUCUCAAUCGGUUCCUAAACCUCCUCCAUGGAAAAUGGUUUUUCCAACUGAUUUGUUGAAUUUUUGUACAAAGUCUUAAAGCUGCAGUGCAACUCCUUGAGUUUAGCAACCCUUUUCCCACUAUAAAGAUUUUCAUAAAAAUUCGCAACCUCUUCUUUAAUCAUACCAAGGUUGUCCACUAACCUUCCCUGGAUUAUUAAACUAUUAAUAGAGUUAACCCUUCUUCCAGAAGCUACUGCAUGAAAAAUUUAGUAUUAUGAUCUCCUCCCAAGAACCACCUAAUUCGAGAUUUCUGCUACUACGAUCUUUCUUCAGCCUUACAAAGCUCCGACGGUCUAGAUUUCAUCAUUACUAAUUCAUUCCUUAUUUCAAUAUCCUCACCCCCAUCUUGAGUAGCCAUUGUUUUCUCAUGAAUGGACAAUCCAAGCUUCUCGAUCUCUUCAGGUUGUUAUGCCAUUCCUUAAUUUUAGGCUUCAUGGCUCUCAAUCUGUGCCAAAUUCCGCUAUUGCUCGACUCCCCUGAAUCACUAUUCUACUAAGCAAACUCAAAUAUUUUUUGGAACUCUCCAUUAUCCAACAAGUGGUUAAAUAUUUUGAAUGGUUUCAGACCCCAAUUAAGCACCUCUCCACUAGAUCACAUUGGAUUGCGAUUUGAUAAAGAUCUUGGAAGGCAUUUUGAAUCAUGUUAUCUUGCCAAUCAAAGAAAAUAGGAUUCACCAGAAAUCUGUCAAUUCAGCUGAAGGAUGAACUCCCUCUAAUUCUUCCCCCGAGUGAAUUUGCCCCCUACCAUAGGCAUAUUGAUCAUUUGAAUGGCGAAAAUUAAGCCAACAAAGUCCACAGAGCUCCUAUCAUCAUCCAAACCACUACUACGCUCCCUACUGUUCAUAACCGCAUUGAAGUCACCUCCAAUGCACCACUUAACACUUAGAUCCCUUGAUUUAUCAAUCAAAUCAAGCCGUAGCUCACUUCUGGCCUCAACCUCAUUUCGAUCAUAAAUGUUGCCCAAACCACAAUUUCAAUCCCCUUUUCUGAUACGAUCCACUAACAGGAUGUAGUGCCUUUCCACUAUACUUGAAUCUAACUCAAAAAAGCUUCUCUCCAACCACCUCUGAUUGUUUGAAUUUAAAGUCUUGAGCCCCCACUAAGAACUUGAUAUAUCUACUAAACUUUCUACUCAACUUCGACUCUUGUAAAAAAACAACAUCCGGUUUUGUCCUACCAACGAGUCUUCUAACUGCUCGCUUCUUCUCUCCUCUGCCUAAACCUGUUACGUUCCAAGUUACAAAAAUCUUAAUCACAAUAGAACACACAAAACUCACAAGAAGUUAUUGUGCUGCUUUCGCCCUAUUUUCCUCCUCCAAUCUAGAAAACUCACAGACCACUUCACCUCUAUUGGUUUCAAAAACAAAUCCCAAUCGAGAUGACACAUUCCAGGUUGUUUCAGGUUCUUGAAUAAUAAUCAUGUUUCUUCUCAAUAUGUCGCUGUCGGAAAGGGAGUCAUAUGAAUUCCUACCUGACAUAAUAUCCCUGAGAUUUCUUCUGAUUUUCCUUCUCUUCCUCACACCAGAUCCUAUGCGAACACUAAGGCCUGUAUUUUUUCUAAAACCAGACGAAGGAGACUUAAAGUUUUUACCCAACCUUUCUGCAACAGGAGACAUAAAUAAACCAAAUCCACCAGCAUCCAUUAAUCGUUCUUCUUGUUCAGUUAAUAGAACAUCCACCAAAUCAGCUUCUUGGAAGGAUCCUUCAACUGAAGCUAAUGCCUCAUUAUCAAUAUUUCUCGUAUCAUUUGAACCCGCUAACACAUCAUGAACCUCAGUUGACUCCUCGACCGUCUCCUUGUUAGAGUGCUCGGUAGUCAAUAAUCUGGACUCCUCACCUGAGUUAUUAAUCUCAAUGUCUUCUGAUUCCUCAAGCCUUAGACAACUUUCAGGAAUAACAAUUAUUGCACCAUUGUCACCAUCAGCUUCCCUCCGACACCCUUACAGCACCAACAUCGACCUUCUUUUGACACUACCAUUCUUCCUUCAGCGCAACUUGAGCAAUAUCUUCUUUUUUCUUCUUCUUUUGUACAGUAAUCACUUUUCUGGUGUUAUCCUGUCUUCUUUGGGCUCUUGGUCAAACACUGAGAUGUUGAUGGUAAUGAUAUGAAAGGGUAAAUUCCUAUAGCAAUCAGAAAUCUUUCUAAGUUGAAAUUAUUUCAUUUGGGAGAUAAUCUGUUUUCAGGUUGCAUAUCUUUCUCCAUAAUCAAUAUUUCUUUAUCGUAAAUAUUGAUUUCAACACUAAUAAUGUCAUUGUAGAUCAACUUCCAUCAGCUAUAUUUGAUCAGCUUCCUCUAAGUUUAAUUAAGAUCCAACCAUCUUUCUGGUAGAAUUUUGACCAAUUUAUUCAAAAGUCAAGAGUUAGAAAUCAAUGCCUUGGAGGGAAGUUUGCCUUAAGAAAUCGGGAAUUUGAAUAAUUUUGUUUUUUUGAAAAAUAAAGAUAAAUAAAAUAGAUGCUUAGUGCUCAUAGAAGAAAAUGCAAGGUAAAAUUUUAACCUAGUUUGAGGGACUGAAUUUUAUGUUUCAGGUGAAAUUCCAUCAACUGUUGGAAACUUGACUUCUAUUAAGCACCUUGAGUUUUGGGGUAACCACUUGACAGGUAUAAUAUCAUCUUUCUUCUCCUUUUCAAUUGUAAUUUGCAUAUCAAUCUGCAAUCCUUUUUAAGUAUUUGAGAUGAAAAUUAUACAUUAUACUUCUUUAAUUGUUAAAAGUAUUAAUUAAUGCAAUGCUUUGACACAUAAUUCAAGAAAAAGGUUUUCCACUUUAAGAUUUUUUAUUAAUUGAUUUUUAAUACCACAAUGUAAAAGAAAAAUGAAAAUCUACAUCUAAUACAGAAAAAUUAAAAAUUUUAGAUAUUCAUAAAAAUGAGAAAGAACCUAAAUUUAAAACAUUUAAAAAUGUAAAUGUUAAGACUAAUUGAUAAAGAACUAUAUUUUCAUGAUAUUUUUUAAAAAAACUUGACAUUAAAAAUCAUAAUACAUCAAUUUUAUAAAAAAAUUAAAAUUUUAAUAUUUCAAUAUUUUUUUUGUCAAUUUUUCUGGAAGUUAAAUAAUGACAAAUAAUUCAUGACAAAUUAAUGGAGUAAUCUUUUUUCCAUAGUUUGUGCUUGCAUAUUAUUAAGUUCCAUUAUAAUUUUCUGAUUCAACUUAUGAUUUGUAAUAUAUGGAUAGUGAUGUGUUAAGAUUAUAGUUUGGAUCUAUCCAUGGUCAUAAUUUUGGGUUUUCAGCUUAUGGAUGUUUGUCUUUUGUUAAUAUUGAAGUGGGAACACUACUCUAUUCCAUUGGAUUUGCUUCUUUUGGCCUCUACAAUAUUUCUUCAUUCCACUAUUCUGAGGAAAAAUUAUAGAAGAAAAAUAGAAAGAAAGAAAUUAGAAGUUAUAGAAUUUUUUUAAUUAUAGAAUUUAUAGUAUCUGGCUAAAGCUUUUAUGUAUAAGAAGGAAGCCAAAGAACAUAAAAAUCAUGUUCUUUUUUUUUUUUUUUUUGCUUCUAUACUUUCAUAAUAUGCGUGUCUUGAAUUGCUGUUUGAAUUCCUUUGGUUAUAUUAUUGCUAUUGCUUUUAUCUUUCUUUAUUAUUUCUCUCUCUCUUUGUUAUGUUAGUAGAUUGUGGCCAAUCAUACCUAAAUAAAAAAAAAUUGAUGACGACUCCAUUACAAGUUGAGUGUUUAGGUUUUCGGACCCACACGUUAUGACAAUAUUAAUAAUUUUUUUCUACUUUUUUGUUUGUCCACAAACUUUUGAGUUAUACAAAUAGAGGUAGUCCUCUACAUAUCUUAAGAUUCAAAUAUAAAAGUUUUAAGUUUUAAUGUUUGUGUCGGUUAACGAAUAUUGGCAUAAUGUGGAAUUCCUAAAACUUAGCUAUUUGAUGUAAAAAAGAAUCACCAUCAUUUUUUUUUAUUUAGGUGCGAUUGAUCACCUAGUUGAAUCUAUUUUUUCUAAUGAAAUCUUAGGCUUAACUUAGGUUCAUUAAAAAGAAUAGAUUCCAGUUUACGAAGCAAACCAGUUUCAAAAGUAUUACAUAUGAGGAAGAUAUUAGAACCUUCACAACAUUUAUUUAAUUGGUAGCUAAUUAAUCAUAGGUUGUCUUUUUAGCCUGUUUAAUUCAACAUUUAAUUUUAUUUUCUUCACCUAUUUUGUUAUUUUUAUUGUCUUUGUUAAUUUAUUUUAUUUUAUCAUUUUGUAAAUAAAUAAAACUCUUUGGUAUUUGAAUUUUCGUUGAAGACCCCAACACUUAGACAAAAUUCAAGAAAAAUAUCUUACCUAGAAAUUUCAAGAAGCUAUCACUUAUAACCUUCUCGAAAAUUCCAUCAUUGGAGAAUUUUUAUUUAUAUGUGUUUCUAUUAAAUUGACACACACAUGAAUGUUAUGGCUCUAUUCCUAAUUUACAAAACAUUUUGUUUAUUAAUAUUUCAUAUUUGUAAUAACUAUUUAAAAAAUGAACCUUUUUUUGUAAGAUUAAUAUAUGAAAUUACCCUCCAACACAUAUGGCAAGGCCCCAUAAUUAUUUUUACUUUGAAAUAUGUAAAAUAGUUACCACUUAUAACCUUCCUUAAAAAUUUCAUUUAAAAUAAUUUUCCUUAAAUAAUUAUAAAUUUUUUCUAUUUAUUAAAAUCUAUUUUACUAUUUCAUCAUAUUCUAUUGCAUGAUUUAUUGUUUUUUAUGUUUGUGAUAAUUAUAUAAAAAUAGAUCUUUUCUGUAAAAAUAAUUUAUGACAAUACUUAUGGUAAGAUCCCAUAAUUAUUUUUACUCUAAAAAACUUUUAUAAAAAUUUAACACUUGUACCCCUCCUUAAAAAUUUCAUUUAAAAGAUUUAUCCUUAAAUAGUCAUCGCUCUUGAUCUUUCUAACAUGGGUCUUAUAGGCACUAUCCCACCUCACUUAGAAAUCUAACUUUUCUUGCUCAACAUAACAUCCGAUUUAAUAAUUUUCAUGGCUCAUUGCCCAUGGAGCUGACUAGUUUGUCUUGGUUGAAAUAUAUAAACUUUGGUAACAACAGUUUUGGUGGGGAAAAUUCCCAUCAUUGUUUGAUUCCUUCACUCAACUUCAGAGCUUGUUUCUAUACGGUAACAACAUCUAUGAUGUUAUCUAGUCUUCUUCGUGUUCUUAAUUUGUCAAACUUUGAGGAUUUGCUCCUAUAUGACAAUGAUUUAAAAGUGCAGAUUCCUAUAGCAAUUAGAAAUGUUUCUGACUUGAAAUGGUUGUGUUUGGGAGAUAAUUUGUUUUCAGGUUGCAUAUCUUUCUCCAUCAUCAAUAUUUUUUUAUAGCAAAUAUUGAUUUCAACAAUAAUAAUCUCAUUGUAGGUCAUCUUCCAUCGACUAUGUUUGAUCACCUUUCGAAAUUGCAAAGUUUGGAUUUUCAUAACAACAAUCUAUUUGGUAGAAUUCCAACCAAUAUAUUCAAGUGCCAAGAGUUAGAAUUUUUAUCUUUAGGUUGGAAUGACUUGGAGGGAAGUUUGCCUCAAGAAAUUGGGAAUUUGACUAAAUUAAUCCACUUGCAUCUCGACAUGAACAACCUAACAGGUACGCUAAUUAUGGGCCUUCUUUUUAGACAAAUUGAAAUGAUUAGCUGUCAUUUUUUUUAUACAUGAGUUCAAAUUUUGGAUUUCAAUUUUUACUUUGGUUGAACUUGAAAACUUAAAUUAAAAGUAAAAAAUUUAAAUUCCAAAUUUAGUAUAAAUAUGGCUGAUAGAAUUCGUGAAAAAGCUGACUUUCUUAAUUAUUGUAGAAUUUAUCAGAUUUAGACAAUUUGAUAUCCAAUUACUUAUACCCUCCAAAAUACUUGUAUCAAUGUUUUUUUUGAAAAGCCUAAGUAUUUUUAUUAAGAACCGCAGCCAUUGUGCCAUCUAAAGUCUCUAGCCAAGGGGGCUUGGAGACUUCUGAUGGCAUAUGGACCCUGGCUACUCGGUAUGGAACACUGUACAAUUGCAUCAGCGUGCCACUUACAAAAGAACUGCAACACCACUUAAACCUCAUUGUUACAAAAAUUCCUUCCUUAUUAGACUUUGUUAAUCCACUGCCUUUACAUUCCUAACCUCAGUCACUUAACUUGGAAUGGCUCACAAAACUGUACACAAACCAUUCCCUAAAGCAUUUUCCAGGACAAUGAAGAUCACACGAAAAUAUUACACAAUCAAAAGGUAUGAAUAUGAGAACUCAACUGUUCUCAUUAUCCCUUUCUCUCAUAAUAUGCAAGAUGUCUCUUCCAGCAUCAUCCAAGACCUUAUGUCGAGCCAUCCAUCAGGGAUCCAUCGCACCACUCCCUUAGAUGCUAUCACCCUCCUUCUUUAAAAACAGUCCAUUCUUCCUCUCACCACAUUUCCCCUCUUCCACAAUUUUUUAUAAAACAAAAUAAUUAAUUUAAAAUAUAUAAUGAAAAGUUAGUACUACUUAUAAUAUAAUUAAUCUAUAUAAAAAUAGAACCACCCGUUUUGUCAUCUUAAAAAAUUAAAUAUAUUGUGCAUAAUCUUUUUUUAAAAAACUAAAAGUUGAAUAAAAUAGUAACUUAGUGCUCAGGAAAGAAAAAAAGGCUUUAUUUGUAGUAAAAUUUUAAGGGGAGAAUUUCAUUUUCAGGUGUAAUUCCAUCAACUACUAGAGGCUUGACUUCUCUUGGAGCCCUUCACAUACAGUCUAACAAUUUCACAGGUAUCAUCUUUCUUUUCCUUUUUAUCCUAUUUCUGCACAUAUAUAUAUAUGCAAUCCUGUUUUAAGUAUUUGUAAUAUUUUCAUUCUUGGUUACAAAGUAGAAAACGAUACAAUAAAAAGAUUAUUAUAAUUAUAUAUCAACGAUUAAACAAAAGAAAAAAAAAACAAUGACACAUCAGAGAGUGUAUCAUUUUCUUUAACUCUAUGUGCGCAUCAGAAAUCAUUUAGUUAGAGCAAAUUAUUUGUGUCUAUGUAGAAUACUAGUAAUUUCUUAUUUGAGGGUUUCCUUUUGUUAGAUGGAAUAAGAGUGGAUGUUGACUUAAAAAGCCAAAAAAAAAAAUAAUAAUGAAGAAUUGGUUUUCAUAGUUUGUACUCGUUUCAUUAGAAUGUUCUUAUUCAACUUAUGAUUGGGGAGUGAUGUUAAAGUAAGUUCCAAUUGAGCAAAAGGAAGUAUCAUUUUUUGUAUUUUUAUAAAACGACUUCUUCCAAAAAAUAUUCAAUCUCUUAACCUUUGUUCAUAUUUUCUUCAAGGACCGCUUCCAACUCUACCACCUUCAUUACUUUGGUUCCGCGCAUCAGAGAAUCAGUUAGUUGGAGAAUUCCCUUCCUCAAUAUGCAAUUUGAGCUCCCUUCAAUUUCUCGACUUAGCUAUGAAUAAUUUGGGCGGAAUUAUUCCAGAAUGUUUUGGAAAUUUAACUUCCUCUCUUUUACAGAUGAAUCUAUUUAUGAAUAACUUUCAUGGAAAAUUAUCAAGAACUUUGUUUCCUAAAAGUUGUUCGUUGAUAAGUUUUCGCAUCAACAACAACCAGCUUGAAGGGCCAAUACCACAAUCCUUGGUUAACUGCAAGGACUUGGCACUUCUAGAUUUGGGGAACAACAACUUAAGUGGCACCUUUCCUAGUUGGUUAGGUAAAUUGAAUCUACAAGUUCUCGGCUUAAGAUUCAAUAGAUUCCAUGGUCACAUUGUCAAUUCUGAAGUUGCAUCUUCCUUCCCUCAUUUGCGGAUCAUUGAUCUCUCUCACAAUGAGUUCAGCGGUUGCUUACCACCAAAACUUUUAGAAAGUUUGAAUGCUACAAGCAAUGGGUAUGAAAAGAAAGGUGAAGUAGAGUUCAUGAGAACUGGUAGCACUUACGGUUUCUCUGUGUAUUAUGAUGAAUCUUUCUAUAUUACAAUAAAAGGGUUGGAGAUAGAGUACGCGAGAAUCUUAACCUCUUUGAUGGUUGUUGACUUCUCAAAUAAUCAAUUCAGUGGACAUAUUCCUGAAAUAAUUGGAAAACUUCAAUCACUUAUAGUCCUCAACCUUUCUCACAAUAGUUUCACAGGUCCUAUCCCGUCAUCCUUAAGUAAUUUGUCUAAGGUUGAAUCAUUAGAUCUCUCAUCAAACAAGCUUGACGGAAGAAUUCCAGUUCAGUUAAACAAUCUUGGAUUCUUAGCGUUAUUAAACCUUUCUUGGAAUAAUUUCAUCGGAUCCAUUCCUAGAGGCAAACAAUUUGAUACUUUCACAAAUGAUUCCUACAUUGGAAACUUUGGUUUAUGUGGAUUCCCAUUAUCAAAAAGCUGUGGAAACGAUCAGGGUUUGGAACCACCUCCAACAAUAUUUGAUGAUGAUGAUGAUGAUACAACAAAAGAAUUGAACUGGAGAUUUUCUAUAUUGAUGGGGUAUGGAUGUGGGCUAGUAUUCGGAUUGAGUAUGGGAUACAUGGUGUUCACAACUGGAAAACCGUCGUGGUUCAUUAAGAUGACCAAAAGAGUUCAGCAAAAAUAUGUUAGAAGGACAUAAUUAAUGCUCUCAGGUGAGUUUUAGUACUUCUAAAAGCAUAACAGUAUUUAAUUACCAUUACCAUUUUUCCUUUUAACAAGAUGUAAGGUUUAGCUUUGACAAGGUUUAAAAAAUUUCCCAGGUUGGAUGUGUUCCAGUUAAGGACAAUACUCCCAAGGGAAGCCAAAUCAUCCAAUAAGACAUUGGCAAAAAUAGGAUUCUGACAAGGAGAUUUUUCAAGCCAUGUGUGGUACGGGUUCUAUCAUUUUAUAUAUUGUCGUGAACUUUCUUUUGUAUAUAUUCUCACAGCUUUUGUUCGACCCUUGAGAUGAUUUCCUUUUCUUUUUUCAGAUUAUUAGAUUGUUAGUCAAUAAUUUCAGUUGUAUUAUUCUUAUCCUAUUUAUUUUAUAGAUGAUUUUCAUGUGACCUUU
rnacentral:lncRNA from 1 species